AACGUAGGAGGCGAGCGUUAUCCGGAUUUACUGGGUGUAAAGCGCGUGCAGGCGGCCGCGCAAGUCGUGCGUGAAAGCGCCCGGCUCAACCGGGCGAGGUCGUGCGAAACUGCGGGGCUUGAGGCAGGUAGAGGCGUGUGGAAUUCCGGGUGUAGUGGUGAAAUGCGUAGAGAUCCGGAGGAACACCAGUGGCGAAGGCGGCACGCUGGGCCUGGCCUGACGCUCAGACGCGAAAGCAUGGGGAGCGAACGGG
rnacentral:rRNA from 2 species